UACGGGGGGGGCAAGCGUUGUUCGGAAUUACUGGGCGUAAAGGGCUCGUAGGUGGCCAACUAAGUCAGACGUGAAAUCCUCGGCUUAACCGGGGAACUGCGUCUGAUACUGGAUGGCUUGAGUUCGGGAGAGGGAUGCGGAAUUCCAGGUGUAGCGGUGAAAUGCGUAGAUAUCUGGAGGAACACCGGUGGCGAAGGCGGCAUCCUGGACCGACACUGACACUGAGGAGCGAAAGCGUGGGGAGCGAACAGG
rnacentral:rRNA from 1 species